UAACAAACAACACAUCACCAUUACUAACCCCUCAUGUACCAAAUAAAAUUAAACAAACCAUUUUUCCCCCUAAGUAUGGGCGACAGAAAAGGAAC
rnacentral:rRNA from 1 species